CAGCAGCCGCGGUAAUACGUAGGGCGCAAGCGUUAAUCGGAUUUACUGGGCGUAAAGCGUGCGUAGGCGGCUUCUUAAGUCGGAUGUGAAAUCCCUGAGCUUAACUUAGGAAUUGCAUUCGAUACUGGGAAGCUAGAGUAUGGGAGAGGAUGGUAGAAUUCCAGGUGUAGCGGUGAAAUGCGUAGAGAUCUGGAGGAAUACCGAUGGCGAAGGCAGCCAUCUGGCCUAAUACUGACGCUGAGGUACGAAAGCAUGGGGAGCAAACAGGAUUAGAGACCCCAGUAGUCCCUGUCUCUUAUAC
rnacentral:rRNA from 1 species